rnacentral:rRNA from 1 species
UACGGGGGGGCAAGCGUUGUUCGGAAUUCCUGGGCGUAAAGGGCUCGUAGGCGGCCAACUAAGUCGGACGUGAAAUCCCCAGGCUCAACCUGGGAACUGCGUCCGAUACUGGAUGGCUUGAAUCCGGGAGAGGGAUGCAGAAUUCCAGGUGUAGCGGUGAAAUGCGUAGAUAUCUGGAGGAAUACCGGUGGCGAAGGCGGCAUCCUGGACCGGCAUUGACGCUGAGGAGCGAAAGCCAGGGGAGCAAACGGG